rnacentral:rRNA from 1 species
ACUCAAAGAUUAAGCCAUGCAUGUCUCAGUACAGCCUCGAAAAAGUGAAACCGCAAACAGCUCAUUAAAUCAGUUACAACUUCCUUGCUCUCGAGCCUCUUAAAUGGAUAACUGUGGUAAAUCUAGAGCUAAUACAUGCAAACUUGUCUCGCCUUCGGGCGAGUCGCAUCUUAUUAGACCCAGAUCAUAGGCAGCCUCACGGCUACCUUUACAUCAGAGGUGACUCUAGAUAAUAUUCAGCUAUCAUUUAAGUCCUCUUCGAGCGACGGUGAAGUGUAAUUCAGACUUCUGCCUUAUCAACUUUUGUUGGUAGGCGACGGGACUACCAAGGUGGUCACGAGUAACGGGGAAUAUGGGUUUUAUUCCGGAGAAGGAGCCUGAGAAACGGCUACUACAUCUAAGGGUGGCAGCAGGCGCGCAAUUUGCCCAAUUUUAGAUGUAGGAGGCAGUGACGAGACAUAAACAUUGGUGAGCGUAGUUUUUAAUUGCGUUUCACCAAAAAAAUUGUGAUUGAGCACAAUGUAAAUGCUUUGGCGAUAAUCUAUUGGAGGGCAAGUCUGGUGCCAGCAGCCGCGGUAAUUCCAGCUCCAAUAGCGUAUAUUAAUAUUGUUGCGGUUAAAAAGCUCAUAGUUUAAACUUGGACAGCAGUUGUUUCGAUCUCCUCGCACCUUCACUGGUCGGGGCUUGCAUGGUCGAGCGGCAGUGUGGUCCGUCUUUGGCGUUUGCUGGGUGCAUUGUGAUGUGCUCGAGCGGCGUCAGCGAUUACUUUGACUAAAUCAGAGUGAUCAAAACAGGCUCGUUUUGCACGGCCUUGAGUGCUCUAGCAUGGAAUAAUAGAAAAGGACUCGUUCAGGUCCGGUGGUGUAAAGCCAACUAUGGUCUUCGGUACCUCGAGUAAUGAUUAAAAGGGAUUGACGGGGGCAGUCGUAUUGCUGGGCUAGCGGUGAAAUGCAAUGACCCUGGUAAGACGUCCGAAAGCGAAAGCAUCUGCCUAGGAUGUUUUCAUUAAUCAAGAGCGAAAGUUAGAGGUGCGAAGGCGAUUAGAUACCGCCCUAGUUCUAACCAUAAACGAUGCCGACCAGCAGUCAGUCUGAGAAUUCAAGUCAAUCAUAUUACUCUGUAAUCUUGAAUUAGACUGGCUCUCACGGAGAAAUCAGAGUGAUUAGGCUCCGGGGGAAGUAUGGUUGCAAGGCUGAAACUUAAAGGAAUUGACGGAGGGGCACCACAAGGAGUGGAGCUUGCGGCUUAAUUUGACUCAACACGGGAAAACUUACCAGGAUAAUACACUAUGACGAUUGACAGGCUAGAGACCUUUCUUGAUUUAGUGAAUAGUGGUGCAUGGCCGUUAUUAGUUCGUGGGGUGGCUUGUCAGGUUGAUUCCGACAAACGAACAAGACUCUAGCCUGUUAAUUGGAGCGAUCGGCCUUGCGCCUCUGGCGUCUGGCCGUAUUCGCCUCCCUUAAAGGGAUUAAUGACGUUUUCUAUUUCACAAUGUAGUCGUAGAGAAAUGGAGAACAAUAACAGGUCUGUAUGCCCUUUGAUAUCUUGGGCCGCACGCGAGCUACAUUGAAGGGUACAAUGAGUUACAUUCAAAUUUCCUGCGCUGAAAAGUGUCGGGUAAUCUUUGAAUUCCCUUCACCUCUGGGAUUGAGCUUUGUAAUCUUAGUUCAUGAACGAGGAAUUCCUUGUAAAUGCGAGUCAUCAGCUUGCGUUGAAUACGUCCCUGCCCCUUGUACACACCGCCCGUCGCUACUACCGAUGAAUUGCUUAGCAAGAACAAUGGACGGCUGGAUACAUGCUCGCGUUUCGACGUGUGGAAGUAUCAAGGCUGAAAGUUGUUCAAGCUUGUCAGUUUAGAGGAAGUAAAAGUCGUAA